AACGAACGCUGGCGGCAGGCCUAACACAUGCAAGUCGAGCGCGCCUUCGGGUGAGCGGCGGACGGGUGAGUAACGCGUGGGAAUAUGCCCUUCUCUACGGAAUAGUCCUGGGAAACUGGGGGUAAUACCGUAUACGCCCUUUGGGGGAAAGAUUUAUCGGGGAAGGAUUAGCCCGCGUUGGAUUAGGUAGUUGGUGGGGUAAUGGCCUACCAAGCCGACGAUCCAUAGCUGGUUUGAGAGGAUGAUCAGCCACACUAGGACUGAGACACGGCCCAGACUCCUACGGGAGGCAGCAGUGGGGAAUCUUAGACAAUGGGGGCAACCCUGAUCUAGCCAUGCCGCGUGAGUGAUGAAGGCCUUAGGGUUGUAAAGCUCUUUCAGCUGGGAAGAUAAUGACGGUACCAGCAGAAGAAGCCCCGGCUAACUCCGUG
rnacentral:rRNA from 1 species